rnacentral:rRNA from 1 species
UGGGAACGUACCUCUUGGUUCGGAACAACACAGGGAAACUUGUGCUAAUACCGGAUAAGCCCUUACGGGGAAAGAUUUAUCGCCGAGAGAUCGGCCCGCGUCUGAUUAGCUAGUUGGUGAGGUAACGGCUCACCAAGGCGACGAUCAGUAGCUGGU